UGGGGGUGUAGCUCAGUGGUAG
rnacentral:miRNA from 1 species